rnacentral:rRNA from 1 species
GACGGGGCCCGCACAAGCGGUGGAGCAUGCGGUUUAAUUCGAAGCAACGCGAAGAACCUUACCAGGUCUUGACAUCCCGAUGCUAUUUCUAGAGAUAGAAAGUUACUUCGGUACAUCGGUGACAGGUGGUGCAUGGUUGUCGUCAGCUCGUGUCGUGAGAUGUUGGGUUAAGUCCCGCAACGAGCGCAACCCCUAUUGUUAGUUGCCAUCAUUCAGUUGGGCACUCUAGCGAGACUGCCGGUAAUAAACCGGAGGAAGGUGGGAUGACGUCAAAUCAUCAUGCCCCUUAUGACCUGGGCUACACACGUGCUACAAUGGUUGGUACAACGAGUUGCGAGUCGGUGACGGCGAGCUAAUCUCUUAAAGCCAAUCUCAGUUCGGAUUGUAGGCUGCAACUCGCCUACAUGAAGUCGGAAUCGCUAGUAAUCGCGGAUCAGCACGCCGCGGUGAAUACGUUCCCGGGCCUU